rnacentral:rRNA from 1 species
UACGUAGGGUGCGAGCGUUGCCCGGAUUUAUUGGGCGUAAAGGGCGCGUAGGCGGCUCGGCACGUCCGUUGUGAAAUCGCCCGGCUCAACUGGGCGGGGUCAGCGGAUACGGCCGAGCUUGAGCAAGCUAGGGGGCAAUGGAAUUCCCGGUGUAGUGGUGGAAUGCGUAGAUAUCGGGAGGAACACCAGUGGCGAAGGCGACUUCCUGGCCUGUUCUUGACGCUGAGGCGCGAAAGCUAGGGGAGCAAACGGGG